UUUACAAUGUACGAAAGUGUGAUAAGGGAAUCCGAAGUGCUCAGCUUUGCUGGGCUUUUGCCAAACGUAAAUAGUUUGGCGAAUAAGGGGUGGGAAAGACUGGUGCCAGCCGCCGCGGUAACACCAGCGCCCCGAGUGGGGAUCCUGUUUAUUUGGCCUAAAGCGUUCGUAGCUGGUUUAGUAAAUCUCUUGUGAAAUUGUUCGGCUCAACCGAGCAGCGUGCAGGAGAGACUGCUAGACUAGGGACCGGGAGGAGUUAGGGAUAUGCUGGGGGGAGCGGUAAAAUGCAAUAAUCCCCGGUGGAUCACCUGUGGCGAAGGCGCCUAACUAGAACGGGUCCGACAGUGAGGGACGAAAGCCAGGGGAGCAAACCGGA
rnacentral:rRNA from 1 species